rnacentral:miRNA from 1 species
UGGGGCCGAGGCCCGGAGGACUGGC